GACGAACGCUGGCGGCGUGCUUAACACAUGCAAGUCGAACGAAGUGGCGAACGGGUGAGUAACGCGUAAUCAACCUGCCCUUCAGAGGGGGACAACCGUUGGAAACGACUGCUAAUACCGCAUACUGAAGGAGGGGAUUUCGUCUGAUUAGCUAGUUGGAGGGGUAACGGCCCACCAAGGCGAUGAUCAGUAACCGGUCUGAGAGGAUGAACGGCCACAUUGGGACUGGGUAAAGGACCAGACUCCGACGGGAGGCAGCAGGGGGGAAGCUUCCGCAAUGGACGAAAGUCUGACGGAGCAACUCCGCGUGAGUGAUGACGGCCUUCGGGUUGUAAAGCUCUGUUAAUCGGGACGCGGUACCGGAAUAGAAAGCCACGGCUAACUACGUGCCAGCCGCCGCGGUAAUUC
rnacentral:rRNA from 1 species